GCGGUUGUUUGGUGGUAGUGCAUUUGCUUUGUAUGCAGAAGGUCCCAGGUUCAAUCCCUGGCAUCUCCA